rnacentral:rRNA from 1 species
AUUGAACGCUGGCGGCAUGCCUUACACAUGCAAGUCGAACGGUAACAGGUCUUCGGAUGCUGACGAGUGGCGAACGGGUGAGUAAUACAUCGGAACGUGCCUAGUAGUGGGGGAUAACUACUCGAAAGAGUGGCUAAUACCGCAUGAGAUCUACGGAUGAAAGCAGGGGAUCGCAAGACCUCGUGCUACUAGAGCGGCCGAUGGCAGAUUAGGUAGUUGGUGGGAUAAAAGCUUACCAAGCUGACGAUCUGUAGCUGGUCUGAGAGGACGAUCAGCCACACUGGGACUGAGACACGGCCCAGACUCCUACGGGAGGCAGCAGUGGGGAAUUUUGGACAAUGGGCGAAAGCCUGAUCCAGCAAUGCCGCGUGCAGGAUGAAGGCCUUCGGGUUGUAAACUGCUUUUGUACGGAACGAAAAGCCCUGGGUUAAUACCCUGGGGUCAUGACGGUACCGUAAGAAUAAGCACCGGCUAACUACGUGCCAGCCGCCGCCGUAA